UGUUAGCUGGAGCCAAAAUCAUUGAAG
rnacentral:piRNA from 1 species